AUGUCUAAAAAACCAGGAAGGUCCGGCAAUAGCCGGAUCGUCAGUAUG
rfam:Iguape virus strain SPAn 71686, complete genome